rnacentral:rRNA from 1 species
CUGAGACACGGCCCAGACUCCUACGGGAGGCAGCAGUGGGGAAUAUUGCACAAUGGGCGAAAGCCUGAUGCAGCGACGCCGCGUGAGGGAUGACGGCCUUCGGGUUGUAAACCUCUUUCGACAGGGACGAAGCGCAAGUGACGGUACCUGUAGAAGAAGCACCGGCCAACUACGUGCCAGCAGCCGCGGUAAUACGUAGGGUGCGAGCGUUGUCCGGAAUUACUGGGCGUAAAGAGCUUGUAGGCGGUUCGUCGCGUCGAUCGUGAAAACGUGCAGCUCAACUGCACGCUUGCGGUCGAUACGGGCGGACUAGAGUACUGCAGGGGAGACUGGAAUUCCUGGUGUAGCGGUGAAAUGCGCAGAUAUCAGGAGGAACACCGGUGGCGAAGGCGGGUCUCUGGGCAGUAACUGACGCUGAGAAGCGAAAGCGUGGGUAGCGAACAGGAUUAGAUACCCUGGUAGUCCACGCCGUAAACGGUGGGCGCUAGGUGUGGGUUUCCUUCCACGGGAUCCGUGCCGUAGCUAACGCAUUAAGCGCCCCGCCUGGGGAGUACGGCCGCAAGGCUAAAACUCAAAGGAAUUGACGGGGGCCCGCACAAGCGGCGGAGCAUGUGGAUUAAUUCGAUGCAACGCGAAGAACCUUACCUGGGUUUGACAUACACCAGAAAGCCGUAGAGAUACGGCCCCCCUUGUGGUUGGUGUACAGGUGGUGCAUGGCUGUCGUCAGCUCGUGUCGUGAGAUGUUGGGUUAAGUCCCGCAACGAGCGCAACCCUUGUCCUGUGUUGCCAGCGCGUAAUGGCGGGGACUCGCAGGAGACUGCCGGGGUCAACUCGGAGGAAGGUGGGGACGACGUCAAGUCAUCAUGCCCCUUAUGUCCAGGGCUUCACACAUGCUACAAUGGCCGGUACAGAGGGCUGCGAUACCGUGAGGUGGAGCGAAUCCCUUAAAGCCGGUCUCAGUUCGGAUCGGGGUCUGCAACUCGACCCCGUGAAGUUGGAGUCGCUAGUAAUCGCAGAUCAGCAACGCUGCGGUGAAUACGUUCCCGGGCCUUGUACACACCGCCCGUCACGUCAUGAAAGUCGGUAACACC